GGUGAAAGGCCAAUCAAACCGGGAGAUAGCUGGUUCUCCCCGAAAGCUAUUUAGGUAGCGCCUCGUGAAUUCAUCUCCGGGGGUAGAGCACUGUUUCGGCUAGGGGGCCAUCCCGGCUUACCAACCCGAUGCAAACUGCGAAUACCGGAGAAUGUUAUCACGGGAGACACACGGCGGGUGCUAACGUCCGUCGUGAAGAGGGAAACAACCCAGACCGCCAGCUAAGGUCCCAAAGUCAUGGUUAAGUGGGAAACGAUGUGGGAAGGCCCAGACAGCCAGGAUGUUGGCUUAGAAGCAGCCAUCAUUUAAAGAAAGCGUAAUAGCUCACUGGUCGAGUCGGCCUGCGCGGAAGAUGUAACGGGGCUAAACCAUGCACCGAAGCUGCGGCAGCGACACUGUGUGUUGUUGGGUAGGGGAGCGUUCUGUAAGCCUGUGAAGGUGUGUCGUGAGGCAUGCUGGAGGUAUCAGAAGUGCGAAUGCUGACAUAAGUAACGAUAAAGCGGGUGAAAAGCCCGCUCGCCGGAAGACCAAGGGUUCCUGUCCAACGUUAAUCGGGGCAGGGUGAGUCGACCCCUAAGGCGAGGCCGAAAGGCGUAGUCGAUGGGAAACGGGUUAAUAUUCCCGUACUUGGUGUUACUGCGAAGGGGGGACGGAGAAGGCUAUGUUGGCCGGG
rnacentral:rRNA from 1 species